AGCAGCCGCGGUAAUUCCAGCUCCAAUAGCGUAUAUUAAAGUUGUUGCAGUUAAAAAGCUCGUAGUUGAAUUUCGGGAUCAAUACGUCGGUCGUGCUUCGGUACGUACUGGCGUCAUUGGUUUCUCCCUUCUGACGAACCAUGAUGUCAUUAACUUGGUGUCAUGGGAAAUCAGGACUGUUACUUUGAAAAAAAUUAGAGUGUUUAAAGCAGGCUCACGCUUGAAUACAUUAGCAUGGAAUAAUGAAAUAGGACGUUCGAUCCUAUUUUGUUGGUUUCUAGGAUCAACGUAAUGAUUAAUAGGGAUAGUUGGGGGCAUUAGUAUUCAAUUGUCAGAGGUGAAAUUCUUGGAUUUAUUGAAGACUAACUACUGCGAAAGCAUUUGCCAAGGAUGUUUUCAUUAAUCAAGAACGAAAGUUAGGGGAUCGAAGACGAUCAGAUACCGUCGUAGUCUUAACCAUAAACUAUAGCCAACUAGGGAUCGGAUGAUGUUAAUUUUUAAUGUACUCAUUCGGCGUACC
rnacentral:rRNA from 1 species